GGAGCGUCAAGAGCGCCCGGGUCUUGAUGCAGCGGGCCCUGCGAUUGAACGGGUCGUCCAGCGAGGAACUCUGGAUCCAGUACUUUUCACUGGAGCUGCACUACGCCCAGACCCUCAAGGGGAGGCGCAAGAUCCUGCACGGCCAGCCCGACGAGGGCGGGCCGACCCGGGGGGCGGCGGACGACGACGACGAC
rnacentral:SRP_RNA from 17 species